rnacentral:rRNA from 1 species
CCUACGGGCGGCAGCAGUGGGGAAUAUUGCACAAUGGGGGAAACCCUGAUGCAGCGACGCCGCGUGAGUGAAGAAGUAUUUCGGUAUGUAAAGCUCUAUCAGCAGGAACGAGACAAGACGGUACCUGACUAAGAAGCCCCGGCUAACUACGUGCCAGCAGCCGCGGUAAUACGUAGGGGGCAAGCGUUAUCCGGAUUUACUGGGUGUAAAGGGGGCGCAGACGGCAGCGCAAGCCAGGAGUGAAAGCCCGGGGCCCAACCCCGGGACUGCUCUUGGAACUGCGCGGCUGGAGUGCAGGAGGGGCAGGCGGAAUUCCUGGUGUAGCGGUGAAAUGCGUAGAUAUCAGGAGGAACACCGGUGGCGAAGGCGGCCUGCUGGACUGCGACUGACGUUGAGGCCCGAAAGCGUGGGGAGCAAACAGGAUUAGAUACCCGAGUAGUC